CAUGAAGCUGGAAUCGCUAGUAAUCGCAGAUCAGAAUGCUGCGGUGAAUACGUUCCCGGGUCUUGUACACACCGCCCGUCACACCAUGGGAGUUGGAAAUGCCCGAAGUCGGUGACCUAACCGAAAGGGAGGAGCCGCCGAAGGCAGGUCUGAUAACUGGGGUGAAGUCGUAACAAGGUAAC
rnacentral:rRNA from 1 species